UAUGCUUCCAUUUUCCUCUGGUGCAUGGCCCCAGGAGAAAUUUUAAUUAGCUUUCUAACCUUGAUCCAGAUUGCAUAUGCAAAGGGUGGAGGAUGCAACACCCCCACUUGUGGAGCUACCGCUUGCGUCUCGCAUGAAAAUUCAUAAGAAGAGAGGAAAUAAUGAGGAGAAAAUGGCAGGUUGUGUUUGCUGACUUUGAUUGAUGAAGAAGUCGCCGUGAAAAUCACAGCAAACCAUAUGGAAAGCAAAUUGCCAAAAAGCAAUAGUCACGCUCGUAGGCUGGUAAUUGAAAUUUUUGUUCAAAUUGUACUUAAUAUUCAAUAACUGUUUAACCAAACCACUGCUUAUCUUGGGAAUGCAGAUACUAUGGAGACAAUAAGAUAAGGUGAAUGCUGAAAAGUCAGGUUUAGGCUAUACAUUGAUUACAAUCAUUUUAGUUUUUUGUAUAUCCCAUGAAAGUGUCACAUGUACGUGGUUGUUCUAUGUUUAAUAUUUGUAUAGCAACAAAGAGUAAAUAAAUUGUAAUUUAUACAUGUUAUAUUGUUGACCUAUACUAAAAAUAGUUAACAUAAUGAAAUGGUUUGGCUGAGUCCCCACACAAAUCUCAUCUUGAAUUGUAAUCCCAUAAUCCCCAUGUUUCUUGGGAGGGACCCAGUGGGAGGUAAUUGAAUCAUAGGGGUAGUGUCUCCCAUGUUGUUCUCAUUAUAGUGAGUUCUCAGGAGAUCUGAUGGUUUUAUAAGUGUCUGGAAUUUCCCCUUCUUAUUCAUUCUCUCUCCUGCUGCCUUGUGAAAAGGUGUCUUUGGACAUGAUUGUACAUUUCCUAAGGCCUCCCCAACCAGGUGAAAUUGUGAGUCAAUUAAACCUCUUUUCUUUAUAAUUACCCACUCUGAGAUACUUCUUCACAGCAGUGUGAUAACUAACUUAUACACAGAACAAUUAAAUGAACACAUUAUAACAAAUUGGAACUACAGAAGGUUUAAAUCAAGGAAAAAUGUAUAAGGAAUUUUCCUUCUCAAUGUUCCUUGGGGUUGAAGAGGCAUUUACAUUUGUUCAUGAAUAGAUCCUGUUUGCAAAAGGCCCUUAAAGGUAAACAUAGGCUUUAACAUUUUGAGGCUAAUGAUGAAACUGAGUCUCAUUUAUAAAGUUGUAGAUGCAGUAGACCAAUUGACAUGGGAAACUAGUCUUUCUUUGAGGCUGGUAAAACAAGAUCAGCACACACUCAGACCUGGUGCAGAGAAAGAGACUGAUUUAGAAAAUGUUCUCCCAUUAGCCUUUGGUAUCCUCUAGUCACCUGGGGCAGAGUGAUUUCUGUGAUUUCUAAACCUUCUGUCCUACUCAUCUCAUAGGCCAUGCCCAUUCUCACAACUCGUACUUUCCUUUAUUGUAGCCUCUGUUCUACUAGUUCUCUAAUAUCGUUUUAUUAGGAGCUUCAUUGAGAUAUAAUUUAUAUACCAUAACAUUCACAUUUGAACUGUAACAUCCAGUGUUUUUUAAUAAAGUCACAGACUUCUGAAACCAUCACAUCUAAUUUUAGAACAUUUUCACCACCAUCUGAAAAAAACUACAUAACAAUUAGCAGUCACUCCCAUUUCCUUUCUUUCUCAAACCCCUAGCAACCAUUAGUCUAUCUUCUGUUUUCAGCCAUUUCUAUUCUGAACAUUUAGUACAAAUAUGAUCAUUUACUAUGUGGUCAUUUGCUUGUUUGUUUCUUUUUAAUGUGUGGUCUUUUUGACUGGUUUCUUUCACUUUGCAUAAUGUUUUCAAGGUUCAUCCAGAUUUUAUCAGGUACAAAUACUUCAUUCCUUUUUUAUGCCUGAAUGAUAUUUAGUGGUAUUUUUUGCUGUUAUGAAUAAUUCACUGUUUGGCUGCCCUAAUUAUGCAUGUAUGAUUCUUUUCUAGGGACAUGUUUUUAUUUUGGAGGGUGUAAACUUAGAUAUUAUAUUGAGUCAUGUAAUAAAUUUAUGUUUAAAUAUUUGAGAGUCACUUCUUGAUGGUACUGUUUGUGACACAAAUCUGUUAUGCAUAUAUGUAUGUACUUACAUUGAUUGUGCUUUUGGUGUCCUAUCUAUCAAAGGUCAUGAAGAUUUACUGCAAUAUUUUCUUAUAAGAAUUUAUAAUUUUACCUCUUACAUUUGUUUCUGUGAUCCAUUUUUCAGUUAAUUCUUGUGUAUGGUGUGAAGUAGAAGGCCAACUUCAUUCUUUUCUGUGUAACGUUUCAGUUUUCCCAGUAUUUUUUAUUGAAAAGUUGAUAAAGUGAAUUGUAUCAUAGAAAAUAUCACAUUGAAUUAUAUUGGCACCUAUAUCAAAACUCAGUUGAUCAUAAAUGUAAAGAUUUAUUUCUGAAAUCUUAUUUCUAUUCUAUUAGUUGAUAUAUCUCUCCUUGUGUUAGUACCAUAAUGUCUUAAUUGCUGUAGCUUUGUGCUAAGUUUUGAAACAGGAUAGUAUACGUCCUUCAACUUUGUUCUUUCUUGCCAGGUUGUUUUGGCUGUUGUAGGUUUCUUACAUUUCCAGAUGAUUGAUUGUAAAGGGCUGUUUCUCAAUUUCUGUAACAAAAGCCAGCUGAAAUUUUGGCACCAGUAUCAUUGAAUAUGUAGAACAGUUUGGUAAGCACUGUCAUCUUUACCCUGUGAACACCAUAUAUUUUAGCCUCCCAUGUCUCUUAAAACAAUCUGUCUCCAAUCCAUCCCCCCAAAUAGUCAAUAGUCAAAUAUAGUCCUGCAUCUUUGUUUAUACAAAGAAAAUAAAUCCUUUGCACCAUGCUAAGAAUUGGACCCAGCUCUGAAUCAAACUGUGAAACAAGAUAUACUGCUGAAUAAAAUACUCAGCUGCUCAUGUCAGAGCAUCCCCAAUGAGGUCAAAAGUGACUUCACAGUUUUCUUGAGUUCACAAGCAAAAUGGUUGUGUAUGUGAUUUCCAUUAAUUUAGUUUAAGAGUGCAUUCAAGUAGUUUUCUCAGGAAAGAAGUGAAAACAUUUUUCCCCCAAAAUAACAUGGAAUCAUCUACUUCCAGUAAAACACCAUAGCUGACAAUUUUUCUGAUUUCUAUACUUUCAAGAUUCAAAAUUUUGGUUUUGUUUUCACAUAUACAAAACCAUAAAUGCCUUUAAAAUAUACAAAGUAUGUUUGCUAUGUAAGGACCAAGAAUUACUACAUGCCAAUAUAGAACCACAACCAUUAAAUAUAUAUGAGAAAAUUCAUGAUAUAAUCAUUUCACACUCCUUUCUUCUAUGUACCACCAAAAGAAGAGGUAUAUAUAUUCCUUUCAACUAGCUGGAUACUUUUAUUUAAAGUAAACCAUAAAGGAAAUUGAAAC